rnacentral:rRNA from 1 species
UCGAGGAUUUUUCACAAUGGGCGAAAGCCUGAUGGAGCGACGCCGCGUGGGGGAUGAAUGGCUUCGGCCCGUAAACCCCUGUCAUUUGCGAGCAAAGCUGUCGGCCUAAUACGCUGACAGUUGAUAGUAGCGAAAGAGGAAGGGACGGCUAACUCUGUGCCAGCAGCCGCGGUAAUACAGAGGUCCCAAGCGUUGUUCGGAUUCACUGGGCAUAAAGGGUGCGUAGGUGGCAGGGUAAGUUCGGUGUGAAAUCCCCGAGCUCAACUCGGGAAUGGCAUUGAAUACUAUCCUGCUGGAGGAUCGGAGGGGAGACUGGAAUUCUCGGUGUAGCAGUGAAAUGCGUAGAUAUCGAGAGGAACACCAGUGGCGAAGGCGAGUCUCUGGACGAUUCCUGACACUG